rnacentral:rRNA from 1 species
AUUGAACGCUGGCGGCAGGCCUAACACAUGCAAGUCGAACGAGUGGCGGACGGGUGAGUAAUGUCUGGGAAACUGCCUGAUGGAGGGGGAUAACUACUGUAAACGGUAGCUAAUAACGCAUACCAUACACUGUGCCCAGAUGGGAUUAGCGAGUUGGUGGGGUAACGGCUCACCAAGGAGACGAUGCCUAGCUGGUCUGAGAGGAUGACCAGACACACUGGAACUGAGACACGGUCCAGACUCCUACGGGAGGCAUCAGUGGGGAAUAUUUCACAAUGGUCGCAAGCCUGAUGGAGCCAUGCCGCGUGUAUGAAGAAGGCCUUCGGGUUGUAAAGUACUGUCAGCGGGGAGGCGUUACCCGCAGAAGAAGCACCGGCUAACUCCGGGCCAGCAGCCGCGGUAAUUC